UCAAGUUAUUUUCCUUCAAAGAUAUACUUUAACAACAGCUUGUUAUAAAUAAAAAGGGGGGAUUUCCGUAUUGUGAUCUGUAGCAGAAUAAUCGUCAAAUCUUCCGGGCAGCGGCCCACGAGAAACUAAAAAAAAAAAACAUCACAGAGAGGGACAAACUCGAAAUGUAUAACUUGUAGCCACCCCGGGAAUUAUGAUGCGCUUACACAUGUCAGCAAAGAUAUUUGGAAUAAUUUUUUUCCAACAUCUUACUAUCUGGUUGUUGUCAAAAUUUGGUGAUUAUUUUGGAACAGCGUUUGAUAUGGAAUUCCCAAACUUACAUUACAUUAGUUGAUAAAACUUAUACAACUGGAGAAAAAUCCUACAUUUAUAGUGUAUUUAUACUUGAAUUAGUAAUGUGAAUUUAUAUCUAAUUUGGAAAGUAUUUUGUUUACAUCAUGAUGAUUGCAAAGUGACUGGGUUUCUCUUACAUCUGGCUUUAUGAAUCUAGCAAGGAAAACAAAUCCCAUGGCAUAGUCCAUUGUAUACCCUAUUAUUGCUAGAAGUUGAUUAAAUUAUAUAUUUCUUAUAUGGAGCAUAUUGUCUUACAUUGAAAACUCUGUUUUUUCAUAGAAUGAUAUAGGAAGAAAUAAUUUUUAACAUAAAAAAACUAGCGAGCUGAAGUUCAAGGAAAGCAGGAACUGGCAUUAUUGCACAUUUUUUAAUAUUUUUGUUUUUUUAACAGUUGGCAAUAACAUGUUUAAUUUAUGUUUUCUGUUACCUAAGGCUUAAAGAAAAAGAAUUCACUAACAUGGAGCUAAAAAAAAAGAAAUUGAGGAAAAAUUAUCCUAAUGUCAAUAGUACUCCAUGGUAUAUGAACAACAUUGCAUGUUAAAAAGUCCGGGAUAAAAAAAAUACACAUGAAAGUUUUUGAAGUGGCCUUCUGUCCUAAAUACAACCAGUUAAGUACCAUGAUGUACAUUGGUCUUUCUCUUUGAUUAAAAUGUCAUUAAAUAUUCAAAAGCCUAAUAAGCUUUAUUUUAAAUUUAAUCUGCAACUUCAAGUAAUAUUAACUCUGUUUUUUUUUUAAGAGAUUUUUUUUUUUAAUUUUUAUUUCAUAAUCCUUACUUGUUUUAAAUUUUUUAUAUUCAGACUUUUAGCAAACUGGCUUAUACCUGUCUAAACUAGUGAUGAAAAGGUUUUUGUGAAUAAAGUGCUAGUUUUCAUAGCUCUCAA